rnacentral:lncRNA from 1 species
CAACGAAAUCAUCCCGACACAAUGAGCCAUAUGUGAAAAGUCAUCCUUCCCCAACACAUCCCCCAACAGGCACUCCUCAAGCCUCUCCCACCCAAGUGCUGGCAUCCUCCCUGUCCUGCUUCACCUGAGACACCCCUUGUCUCAUUAGACAUGCAACUACGGGAGGGGUGACAGGAAGACAAGACACUAUUUCCUCAGGCCCAGUUUGGUGUGGGGAGAAAGCCUCCUGAUCCUGAAAGCAAGAAUUUGACCAGAGCAGAAGUAAUCAGUAUGCAGAUUGAUUCUGUGCUUAUUUUGGGAUAGGCCAGCCGCCAUGUCAUGAAGACACUCAAGAAGCCCUGUGAAGAGGAAGCAAGGCCUGCCAACAACAGCCAGCACCAACUUUCCAGCCAAGGGAUUGAGCCAUCUCACAGUGGAUCCUCCAGCCCCCACCAAGCCUUCAUAUGACCAAACCAACACCAACAUGUAACUGUGACCUCAUGUGAGUCCCCAAGCCAGAAUACCCAUCUCCUGUCUCAGAAAUGAUGAGAAAUAAUAAAUAUAUGUGCUCACACAUAUUACCAUCUAAUUUUCUACAUUAUAUGUUUAUUUCCCCACUGUAUAUAAGAUCCAAGGACUGUUUUUUUUUCACUGCUAUAUUCCAAGAACCUAGAACAAAUCUGGCAUAUGGUAAGUAUACAAUAAAUAUCUGUUGAAUUAAUUAAUGGGAAAAAAUAAAUGAAUGAUGAAUGGCUGCUCUGGAAAAAAUACCUUGAAGAGUGGCAGGAGCGGAAAGAGGAGGAUCAGAUGGGAGGCUAACAGCCAGCACCACCUUGCCAGCCAAGUGACUGAGCCAUCUUGCAGUGGAUCCUCCAGCCCCCAUCAAGCCCCAACUAAGCCACUAAGUUUCAUGGUAAUUUCUUACACUGCAAUAAAUAACUAAUACUGGACCAGUGAGAAAAGGAGUCAAGAAUAAUCUCAGCUUUCUACCUUUAAUAACUUAAUGGAUAGUGGUGCUAUUAAUCAAGUCAGGAAAGAGAAAGGACAAUAAUUACACCUAUAGUAUUACC